UACGUAGGCAGCGAGCGUUGUUCGGAGUUACUGGGCGUAAAGGGCGCGUAGGCGGCCACCGCAAGUCAGUUGUGAAAUCUCUGGGCUUAACCCAGAAAGGUCAACUGAUACUGCGGGGCUAGAGUGCAGAAGGGGCAACUGGAAUUCUCGGUGUAGCGGUGAAAUGCGUAGAUAUCGAGAGGAACACCUGCGGCGAAGGCGGGUUGCGUGGGCGACCACUGACGCUGAGACGCGAAAGCGUGGGGAGCAAACAGG
rnacentral:rRNA from 1 species